rnacentral:rRNA from 1 species
GUAGGGGGCAAGCGUUGUCCGGAAUUAUUGGGCGUAAAGCGCGCGCAGGCGGUCAUGUAAGUCUGGUGUUUAAUCCCGGGGCUCAACCCCGGAUCGCACUGGAAACUGCGUGACUUGAGUGCAGAAGAGGAGAGUGGAAUUCCACGUGUAGCGGUGAAAUGCGUAGAGAUGUGGAGGAACACCAGUGGCGAAGGCGACUCUCUGGGCUGUAACUGACGCUGAGGCGCGAAAGCGUGGGGGGAGCAAACAGGAUUAGAUACCCUGGUAGUCCACGCCGUAAACGAUGAGUGCUAGGUGUUAGGGGGUUUCGAUACCCUUGGUGCCGAAGUUAACACAUUAAGCACUCCGCCUGGGAGUACGGUCGCAAGACUG